AAAAACAUUGCAGAAUACAAAAUAAACGCUUUUAGACUUCUAUUUUGAAGACGCGGUUAUUCUGGAGACGGAAGUUAACAUGAACACACGGUAAUCGCGGUAUCGUUUGUGUUCUCACUUCAGUCACUCAUUUUAUAUAUCAGAAAUUACAGUCGUCGAAUGAGCAUUGAGCACGAUGGCGGAGUAUGAAUUAUUUCACAAACAAACAAUAUCUAUAAUGACGCUGAUGACUGAAACAGUUCGAGACGAGAUUCAAAAUGUUUUUGACUGUGAAUGUCGUCCAUUCCACACUGACAUUAGUUGCGACAGAGAUGCGAUAUUGGACAUGAAUAAGAAACGCAGACUGAUUCUGCAGCUGUAGCUCCAUCAGUGUCUCUGGAGAGACCGAAUUUGCUCACUGCGUUACCUGAAGAAAACAUACAACCACAAGAUUCUGUUAAAAGCCAGCAGUGUGCAGAGGAGGGUCACGUUUCUAAAUUUUGUCCCGAAUCAUCAAGUAGUGGACAAGAGAACCCAGUGCAAGCAUUUUUUAUAGGCAGCGGUCCACAUCAACAUUAAAACAAUAAUUCUAGACCACCGA
rnacentral:lncRNA from 1 species